CCUACGGGAGGCAGCAGUGGGGAAUUUUCCGCAAUGGGCGAAAGCCUGACGGAGCAAUACCGCGUGAGGGAGGAAGGCUCUUGGGUUGUAAACCUCUUUUUUCAGGGAAGAUAAUGACGGUACCUGAGGAAUAAGCAUCGGCUAACUCCGUGCCAGCAGCCGCGGUAAUACGGAGGAUGCAAGCGUUAUCCGGAAUGAUUGGGCGUAAAGCGUCCGCAGGUGGUUUUAAAAGUCUGUUGUUAAAGCGUGAGGCUUAACCUCAUAAGGGCAAUGGAAACUGUAAGACUAGAGUACGUUCGGGGCAAGGGGAAUUCCCAGUGUAGCGGUGAAAUGCGUAGAGAUUGGGAAGAACACCGGUGGCGAAAGCGCCUUGCUAGGCCGUAACUGACACUGAGGGACGAAAGCUAGGGGAGCGAAUGGGAUUAGAUACCCCAGUAGUCCUAGCCGUAAACGAUGGAUACUAGGCGUUGUCUGUAUCGACCCGGACAGUGCCGUAGCUAACGCGUUAAGUAUCCCGCCUGGGGAUACGCACGCACCGUAGUGAACUACAAUAGAAGUAGACGGCGUGAGACGUGCCGAACGGACGACGACGAGGGGAGUUAGG
rnacentral:rRNA from 1 species